UACAGAGGUGGCAAGCGUUGUUCGGAAUUACUGGGCGUAAAGGGCGCGUAGGCGGCCAUCUAAGUCAGACGUGAAAUCCCCCGGCUUAACCUGGGAACUGCGUCUGAUACUGGAAGGCUUGAGUAUGGGAGAGGGAUGUAGAAUUCCUGGUGUAGCGGUGGAAUGCGCAGAUAUCAGGAGGAACACCAAUAGCGAAGGCAGCUCGCUGGGACGGUACUGACGCUAAGGCGCGAAAGCGUGGGGAGCGAACAGG
rnacentral:rRNA from 1 species